CCUACGGGGUGCAGCAGUGAGGAAUUUUGGUCAAUGGACGAGAGUCUGAACCAGCCAAGUAGCGUGAAGGAUGACUGCCCUAUGGGUUGUAAACUUCUUUUAUAUGGGAAUAAAACGUUCCACUUGUGGGAUUUUGUAUGUACCAUAUGAAUAAGGAUCGGCUAACUCCGUGCCAGCAGCCGCGGUAAUACGGAGGAUCCGAGCGUUAUCCGGAUUUAUUGGGUUUAAAGGGAGCGUAGGUGGAUUGUUAAGUCAGUUGUGAAAGUUUGCGGCUCAACCGUAAAAGUGCAGUUGAAACUGGCAGUCUUGAGUACAGUAGAGGUGGGCGGAAUUCGUGGUGUAGCGGUGAAAUGCUUAGAUAUCACGAAGAACUCCGAUUGCGAAGGCAGUUCACUGGACUGCAACUGACACUGAGGCUCGAAAGUGUGGGUAUCAAACAGGAGUAGAUACCCCUGUAGUC
rnacentral:rRNA from 1 species